GACGUCUAAUACUGGAUAUGACUGCCGGCCGCAUGGUCUGGUGGUGGAAAGAUUUUUUGGUUGGGGAUGGACUCGCGGCCUAUCAGCUUGUUGGUGAGGUAAUGGCUCACCAAGGCGACGACGGGUAGCCGGCCUGAGAGGGUGACCGGCCACACUGGGACUGAGACACGGCCCAGACUCCUACGGGAGGCAGCAGUGGGGAAUAUUGCACAAUGGGCGAAAGCCUGAUGCAGCAACGCCGCGUGAGGGAUGACGGCCUUCGGGUUGUAAACCUCUUUUAGUAGGGAAGAAGCGUAAGUGACGGUACCUGCAGAAAAAGCACCGGCUAACUACGUGCCAGCAGCCGCGGUAAUACGUAGGGUGCAAGCGUUGUCCGGAAUUAUUGGGCGUAAAGAGCUCGUAGGCGGUUUGUCGCGUCUGCUGUGAAAUCCCGAGGCUCAACCUCGGGCUUGCAGUGGGUACGGGCAGACUAGAGUGCGGUAGGGGAGAUUGGAAUUCCUGGUGUAGCGGUGGAAUGCGCAGAUAUCAGGAGGAACACCGAUGGCGAAGGCAGAUCUCUGGGCCGUAACUGACGCUGAGGAGCGAAAGCGUGGGGAGCGAACAGGAUUAGAUACCCUGGUAGUCCACGCCGUAAACGUUGGGCGCUAGAUGUAGGGACCUUUCCACGGUUUCUGUGUCGUAGCUAACGCAUUAAGCGCCCCGCCUGGGGAGUACGGCCGCAAGGCUAAAACUCAAAGGAAUUGACGGGGGCCCGCACAAGCGGCGGAGCAUGCGGAUUAAUUCGAUGCAACGCGAAGAACCUUACCAAGGCUUGACAUACACCGGAAACGGCCAGAGAUGGUUGCCCCCUUGUGGUCGGUGUACAGGUGGUGCAUGGUUGUCGUCAGCUCGUGUCGUGAGAUGUUGGGUUAAGUCCCGCAACGAGCGCAACCCUCGUUCUAUGUUGCCAGCGCGUUAUGGCGGGGACUCAUAGGAGACUGCCGGGGUCAACUCGGAGGAAGGUGGGGAUGACGUCAAAUCAUCAUGCCCCUUAUGUCUUGGGCUUCACGCAUGCUACAAUGGCCGGUACAAAGGGCUGCGAUACCGUAAGGUGGAGCGAAUCCCAAAAAGCCGGUCUCAGUUCGGAUUGAGGUCUGCAACUCGACCUCAUGAAGUCGGAGUCGCUAGUAAUCGCAGAUCAGCAACGCUGCGGUGAAUACGUUCCCGGGCCUUGUACACACCGCCCGUCAAGUCAUGAAAGUCGGUAACACCCGAAGCCGGUGGCCUAACCCUUGUGGA
rnacentral:rRNA from 1 species